rnacentral:rRNA from 1 species
GAUGAACGCUGGCGGCGUGCCUAAUACAUGCAAGUCGAGCGAACAGAUGAGGAGCUUGCUCCUCUGACGUUAGCGGCGGACGGGUGAGUAACACGUGGAUAACCUACCUAUAAGACUGGGAUAACUUCGGGAAACCGGAGCUAAUACCGGAUAAUAUAUUGAACCGCAUGGUUCAAUAGUGUAAGACGGUUUUGCUGUCACUUAUAGAUGGAUCCGCGCCGCAUUAGCUAGUUGGUAAGGUAACGGCUUACCAAGGCAACGAUGCGUAGCCGACCUGAGAGGGUGAUCGGCCACACUGGAGCUGAGACACGGUCCAGACUCCUACGGGAGGCAGCAGUAGGGAAUCUUCCGCAAUGGGCGAAAGCCUGACGGAGCAACGCCGCGUGAGUGAUGAAGGUCUUCGGAUCGUAAAACUCUGUUAUUAGGGAAGAACAAAUGUGUAAGUAACUAUGCACGUCUUGACGGUACCUAAUCAGAAAGCCACGGCUAACUACGUG